rnacentral:lncRNA from 1 species
AACAAAUGAUGUAUAAUAUAGCAAAUGCGAGUUGUCGCGAGCAAAUUUUCUAAUAUUUAGUUUUGUCAAUAUUUUGGUACACCGUGAACAACAAGAUUCAUCAAUUCGAAAUUACAGUCAGACUAUAUAUAUGAUUCCCAUCAAAAUAUUAUUAAUAUCAGAAUGACAUACAAUACAACCUUUGAAUCCUAUAUGUUACAUUAACCUUGUAUUUAUUCUAGCUAAAUAUAUUACAAGUUUUUUUUUUUUUUUGUAACUGAAUAUAUUACAAGUUUGUCCUUGAUUUUUAACUAUUGGCAUAUAAAUGAUUCAAAGUCUCUAAAGAAAGAAAAGAAAAAUAUUUUAAGGGUUUGGACUUUGGAGAAACAAUACUGUUAAGUAAUGUGCGAGAAAUCAACUAGUUUCGUCUUUCAAAAAAUCAAUAAAGUGAAAGAGAAGGCGUUACCAAACCUGAUCGUAACGUACAAGCAACUAAGUAUCCAGCUAAUUCCAGGCA